UCGCAAACGUAACGAAAGUGGCGUAAAACGCUUACCGUAGACGACGUUCUUUCUUUUUAUACACCGUCGUUCCGCCGACGAUGAAUCGUGCCUGUAUUUACGCGGGGCUGAAAUUAUUGCGACAGAAAUGCAAGCGUCGCGGUAACGUGAAAAUGAUAAAAAACAACGUCCACCUGCACGCGCUGCGCGCAUUAAUAAAAUUUAUACUGGCCGGUGAAAUAAUGCUGUUAACUUUUCGAUAAUCGGUGCCGUGAUUUUAAGCCUGGUCGAGAGUUAUGCGAGUAAUGCAUCAAUAUUAGCUCGCUCGUUACGUAUUUAUGAACGUAUCCGCGUCCGUAAUAUAUAUUUAGACUCUUCACAAUAAAUAUUAGCUAAUCCAAUAGGUAUAUAAAAACUAUAGUCCCUUUUGCUGAUGAUCUUAAUCUAAUCUGCGCAAUGAUUUUUUCGUAUAAAGAAACGAAUAUAAUAAAAAAAUUACGUAGCAGAAGAAACUUUUAGGAAAGUAAAUUGACAAAGAGAAUAACGUGGUAUUUACUUAGGAAAUGUAGGAAACGUCCCUGAGGGUUUGAGCGACGUCAAGGAAAAAUCUGUUAAAAUUACAAAACGAAAAGCUCGACGCUUUCAACCAUUGUAAAAGCUUCGUACACAAUAACGUUGAUCUAAAUCAAACCGGUAGGCCGGGUAUGGCAGGCCGUGGUUCAAAACGUUACGGGUGCAAAGAGAAAAGCGUAGGGCAAGCGAAACCAGACGUACAAACAAACCCUAUCAGCGGAGCGGCGUAAAAUACAAAAAGAGGACGCGACGAGCGAGGAGUCAUUCCUCUAAUUUUCAGCAUCGCGCGUGGAAUUUCGAUAAGCGUGAUUUCAAUAUAGUAUGUAUAGCACUCGCCAGGAGGACGAAAAGAGAGAGGGUCGGUGAGAAGAAACGAUUGGGAAAAAUGUCGGAUAGCACGCAAAGCAAUCUUGUAAUAUUCCCGUGGGAGAGGGCGAUCUCUGAAAUCCCCAAGAGAUGUCACCGUGGAAUAAAGGUUAGACUCGGCAAAAAGUGCACCUGUGGUGAUAUUGGCAACGCCAAAGCAUCCCCAAAUGUGAUAAAUAAAGAGUUACUGGACUGAAACUUGGCAAAAAGAACCGUACGAAAUGAUGGUGAGACCCAGUGACAGAGGGACGUGUACAAUCUUUGGGAAUAAUUGAUGAUACAAGGUCCACGAUACGAUGCUCUUAAACUAUUGAAUGUUUAUGCACUAUUGACAUCAGUAAAUUUUAUAAUAUAAUGAUAGAUUCUAACAUGUAACGUAUUAAUUUAUUAUCAAAUGAAGAGACUAUGCACUCGAAAAUCGAAAAAGAUAUAUUUCUCUAUUUCGCUACGAUUAUAUGAAACAUAUAAUCUAUUACGUGCGCCAGGAUGUUCUUGAAAGCUAUCAUCAGAAUCGGUACGUUUUCUCCAGCAUCGCAAAACUGAAUGAAAGUGCUUUGAUACUUAUGAGCGGUAAGAUGCACGUCAUGGCAUGUUCGCGGUCGCACGUAGCAUGUUACCUUGCGGACGUUCACGCGAUUACACGCGCGAGGGUAGAACGGGUUCGCUGGGAGAACGAAGCCGGGGAUGGAGAAGGCAAAGAGAGAAUGUGCGCGCGUGUCUGUGAAACUUGUCAGGGCGAGAUCAGAAGGCGCACCGUGCGCCGGGGGUGAGCGGCGACGAAGUGGUAUGAGAUUAAAGAGAGAAGAGAGACAAAAAAAGAGGACUGAAACGAGCGGAAGGGAAGGAGAAAGAGGGAGCGAGCGCAAAGGGAAGUUUGAAAAGGAGCGAAAGAGUGAGCAAACUGUUGGGAGAGGGGAUUGCGGAAUGGCCGAGGUUGCUGGUGCCUUCGUGAUAAAAAGUAAAUGAGGAACAAAGGUCCCGCCUUCGGGGGGGUGGAAAAUAUAGGGGCGAGAGAACGAGGAAAAAAGAAGGGUCGAGAGAAGGAUAGAGAAACCGGCGUGGUGGUUGGUAUAGGGAAGAAAGAAGCGGGAGUGGCUCCGACCGUCGGCAGACGUGCCGAGAAUAAUGCCGUCGGAAUUACAUGGCUUGGCAGGAGGUGGGCAGCGUGUUGGUGGCGGUAACUGCGUUAGCGAAUCGGCCGAGGGUCGGAGAAGCCGGGAAAAUCGAGGAAAAUUAAUUGAUAGAGCCUACACAGGCCACUCGUGCCAUCCCUGUAUGCUGCAAGCCACGAUUGUUAGAAUCUCCAUCGAUAACACUUCACGGGUGACUGCAAGUGAAUGAUGUUCCAUUUCCGCUUUGCAUGAUGCGCGAGUUUUCUAAUCCUGAUUCUGAGUGUAUCAAGUACUCUUUUUCUAUCGUCAUUUGAGAGUGAAGGAAACUUUAAUGAAAUGUGCGGUAAAGUAAAUUGUAAAUAUUACCCGUUAAAUUAUAAAAGUAUGGAUUUACAGAAACCGAAUUUUCGUUCACGUACUAUCGAUAUUAAUAGACAUAAGUAAAUGAAAACCUGUAUUACCUUUGUUUUCGUGUUCAUAGAUGUUCUUAGAGAACAGGACACAACAUGAUCAACACUGCAUCGUUGAUUGUAAUUUACAUUACGGCCGAAACGCGUUGUAGAUCACGCGUAGUCAAGCUGUACAUCAUCCGCAUACGUUGCUCGGACCGCAAACGAGUUAUACCAAUUUGCCAAUAAUUGUUGCAGUUAUGUUAAUUCCCAAUCAGUGGCGACGCGUUCGAUUCGCGUACUCCUCGCGUAUGUGUCUGUCAUGCAAAUUUGUUCUGCGUAAGCCAUUCGAGUGACAAAAAUAAAACGAACCCGUCGCAGCAUGGUGCGUAAGAGAGAGAAUGACAAAAUCAGAAGUGUUAGGGAGACGAAUCAUCGAUCAGGGGGAACGAACGACAAACGGCAAUACAGCUACUGAGACAAGGGACGAAGACAGAUGUAAAAGGCUGGACAGAGGGACGGAUAACCGUGUAUCAACGAUUAAAGCAAAGCCACCGACAACAUUGAUUAUGCUUUGCUGGGUUAAUUUAUCGUGUCACGAGUGUCCCAGUUUCCAUUUGUAGCUUUGAUUGAAGGAGUACAAUCUGUCAAACUUAUUCAAAAAGUGUCCCAGCCAAAGUAAAAAAAAGAGGAACACAUUUGUGAACUUAUGUUUUCAUUCCAAUAGAGUGACCGUUGAAAUAUGACAAAAUAGAAUAAUCAGAAAUGGUGGGGUGAUCACAUCAUGGAUAAAAGGAUGAUAAGGUGCUCAAAAAAGCAAUCAAAACGAAGAUGCAUGUACAAGUACAUUAUUCCCAUAUAAACGUAAAUAAAUACAUUCUUGGACGGCAUCGAUGGACACAUUUAUAGUCGUUUUACAGUCACGAUUCUCAAUUCCACCAAUAGCAGCGGUGAUAUUAACGACCAGUAUAACAUUCGACGUCGUGGAAAAUUCAUAUUUCGUUCAUCAAAGAUCUUUGAAUGGAGAAAUUUACGAGCAAGUAGUCUACCGUCGUAUAUGUCAGAUUAUUUGAAGCGUCUUCCUCCGCCUUGAGAACGUACUUAAAAUUUUUUAAUAAUACUCAAACGAACCUGAAUCAUCUGUAUUCAUCCAUAAUCGCAUAAGUACUCUUAAAUGUUAUAUAUUCAACUUUUCAUUAACGUUUCCGCUAAUCUCUAGCUAAGGUAAACCAUGCAGAAAAUUUGUAUGAUUGCAUGCGAUUGUAACAGCAUACAUCUGUUCAGCUUCUGCAAGGGGAGAGUAAGCGCAAAUAAUCUAGCCCCUGUUGAAUCUACCCCUUCGUUUGUCUCCACCUGAUUGUGAUCUGCAACGAUGACAAACCGUUUGAUUGCGCAAACGAAAUAUCUAGAACCUCGACAUUUACCGACGACAGUGACUAUAGAGUAAAUAAAAAAUAUUCGAAUUUAUACAA